rnacentral:rRNA from 1 species
AAUUUUGGACAAUGGGGGCAACCCUGAUCCAGCCAUCCCGCCUGUGCGAUGAAGGCCUUCGGUUUAUAAACCACUUUUGGCAGGGAAUAAAAGGCGCGGGCUAAUACCCCGCGCCGCUUACGGUCCCGUCAGAAUAAGCACCGGCUAACUCCGUGCCCGCAGCCGCGGUAAUACGUAGGGUGCAAGCGUUAAUCGGAAUUACUGGGCGUAAAGCGUGCGCAGGCGGUUCGGCAAGAGGGAUGUGAAAUCCCGGGGCUUAACCUCGGAACUGCAUUCUUAACUGCCGGGCUAGAGUAUGUCAGAGGGGGGUAGAAUUCCACGUGUAGCAGUGAAGUGCGUAGAGAUGUGGAGGAAUACCGAUGGCGAAGGCAGCACCCUGGGAUGAUACUGACGCUCAUGCACGAAAGCGUGGGGAGCAAACAG